rnacentral:rRNA from 1 species
CGAAGUUGAAAAGCUUGCUUUUCGACCAAGUGAGUGGCGGACGGGUGAGUAACACGUGGGUAACCUGCCCAUAAGAGGGGGAUAACAUCCGGAAACGGAUGCUAAUACCGCAUAUUUCAAAUGACCGCAUGGUCGCUUGAUGAAAGGUGGCUUCGGCUACCGCUUAUGGAUGGACCCGCGGUGCAUUAGUUAGUUGGUGAGGUAAUGGCUCACCAAGACAAUGAUGCAUAGCCGACCUGAGAGGGUGAUCGGCCACACUGGGACUGAGACACGGCCCAGACUCCUACGGGAGGCAGCAGUAGGGAAUCUUCCGCAAUGGACGAAAGUCUGACGGAGCAAUGCCGCGUGAGUGAAGAAGGUUUUCGGAUCGUAAAACUCUGUUGUUAGAGAAGAACAAGGAUGAGAGUAACUGCUCAUCCCCUGACGGUAUCUAACCAGAAAGCCACGGCUAACUACGUGCCAGCAGCCGCGGUAAUACGUAGGUGGCAAGCGUUGUCCGGAUUUAUUGGGCGUAAAGCGAGCGCANGCGGUUCUUUAAGUCUGAUGUGAAAG